rnacentral:lncRNA from 1 species
CUGGAAGGGUUGCUGAACACCAAGGCCAAAAAGCAUGUGAUUACGAUGCCAAGAAAUGGGGAUGUGCCCUUCACACAUGCCAAUGUGACCUUAGCCUACAAGGAUUUUGGGUACAAGCCCACCACAGAUUUGGCCACGGGAUUGAGGAAAUUCGUCAAAUGGUAUGUUAGUUAUUUUGGCAUUCAACGGAGGGUUAAAAAGGAAACUCAACAUGCCGAUGAAUCUGGCUGAGGGGAUUGAGCUUCAUCAUCACGCACAUGGUUGCCCCCUUCUUUUUUUUUUUUUUCUUCCACCCCUUCAAUUUCUUCUUAUUUUUCUUUUUCUUUUUGUUCAUUGAAUUCUGUUCUUUCUCUUUUCUUCUUUAGAGUUAUGGUUGUGGUCCUCAGAUGUAAAAAGGAUCAAAUUGUUGCAGCUGUUGUUCAUGUAGCAUAUAGAUAUAGAUUUGAUGAUAUAGAAAGUGAUAAAUGUGAAAAAAAAAAUUGGAGAGAAAAUUAAGAAAGGGAAAGGAGGGAGAAAGGUGUAGAUCUGUGGAGGUGAGAUGUAAUAAUGUGGUAGGGUCUGCUAGAAAGGAUGCAGAUCUUGGCCGUUCAAAUUUCAUAUAAAAUGAAAAAAAAAAAUUGUGAUUGAGCAACAAUGAUGACAACAAGAUUCUUCUUCUAUAUGCAUUUAUUUUUAUUUUACAAAGGUUUUGUUAUUAUAAAUUGUUAUUAUUGGUAUUUGCUUUGGUCAUAAUUAGUUUUGCUUUUAAGGAAUGCAAGAGAUGAGGUGUAAAAUUUCAUUUUUUGUAUUUGUGAAGCUUUGAUAUGAAUGAAGAAUGGGGUAGGGAUUGUCUGAAAUAGUUUUACGGAAACCCAACUCCUCCAAACCUUUCUAGUCAAACUGGGUCCCGGUGAACGGAGAGAAAAUGGUAAUUCUUCCAUUACUUCCUUAAUAAGUGUAUAUAUAGAUAUAUACAUAUAUAUAUAUUUUUUUAUUUAUGAAACUUUAUGUUAUUUAUAAUUUCUGUAAAAAAAUAAAUUCUCCUCAUAAACUCACCCAAACGACACCGUUAAGAAACAAUAAGAAGCUAAAGCUUUUGACUCAUCUCAUCCGACAAGUGAGCCAAAAAGGGUGAAAAAGGGCAGAGGAGAAUUUGUUAAAGUCGCCGCUUUAAGAAAUGCCACCGUUUGAUGCUCUUUUUUGUUCUUCUUAAAUUAUUGGAUUACGCAAUCAGUCAAACUUUUUAACUAAACCUUAUCCCAACCAAGAAAAAGAAAUGUUGAUUUCUUUUCUUUUUUCUCUUUCUUUUUACAUUUCUAAUUUGGAAUACUCAUUUCGUUUCAUUAUAUAUAAUUUGAUCUUGAUUUUGUAUUAAAUUUAAACAAUUUUUAACUUUUUUAUUUAAUUUUUUUUACAAAAACACCCUUGACUUGAAAAGAAAAUGAAACUGAUCGUUAUAGUGAAGGGUAAUUAGGGAAAGAAUUUUUUUUAACUUUUCUAAAAGAAAUAUUAAUUUGAAAUAACUAAAAAUAUGUAAAAAAGAUAGUAUUUGUGAGGAAGAAGAGGAAGCAAACUUAUUGGAUUAUUGUGCCUAAAAACCUAUCUUUCGUUAGACAAGAUCUUAUUUCAAUGGUCGGUAGAGGAAGUCCUAGUCUCAUUUAGGUCUCAAAUUGACUUUUGAGUCCAAUUAUACGUUAAUUGAUUUAAUUUUAUACUAAUUUAUUAAUCAAUUUUUUAUAUUUAACUUAAAAUUAAUAUUAUAUUUAUUGAGAAUUAUUUGAUUUUGAUGUGAUUUCAAGUUAUGAACCUAAAAAUCUAACCCAAGAGAUAAAAAAAAAAAAAAGGUAAGGUCAAAGUUCAAACACCAAUUGAGCUUUGGCUCGGUGACGUGAGAGGAGAGGCAAGGCAAGUAAAGGUUCUUAGAAGACAUGAUUACGAUCCGAUCAUCUUCGUAAUUAACCAAAUAAUCCGAAUUACUCUGAAUGUUGAUAUUCCUCCCAUUGAAUUGUUGUUCGUGCUAUUUUAUAUCCUUAUCUUGUACCAAAUUUUCUUAAAAAAUAAUAUUUAGAGUGGGGUGGGCAGCCUAGAGUCCUAGGACUAAAUCCCUAUAGGUCAACAAUAUUCUUAUAUAUGGAGCAAGGAUAUGGUUGAAAAAUCAAUAAAAUUCUUUUAAAUAAGUCUAUACUUUCUUAUAGACAAACUAGUUAGCUCUCGACCACUUGGAUAUGUGCCCCUUUACUUUGUAAAAAAUCAUAAUCAGUUAAACUUCCUGCUAAAGACGGGAAAAUCUUACCCAUAGGAAAACCUCAUAGAAACUAUAUCUUUAACUAUUAAACAUAUCUCGACCAGUCCUAGAAAAGCAGCAUGCAUAAGCACGGAGAGUGUGAACAUAAUGAAUAUGCCUACUAUAUAAUUAUGGCUAAGUAAUAAGUAUAUGUAAGAUUUAAAGAUGCCUACCAAUGACUAGUACGUAUAUUGCUGUAAAACCUAAAAACCAAAGAAGAAAAAAAAGUUUAUUUUAUUAAACAUAUAAAAUAAUAUAAGAAUAAAAAUGAAAAUAAUUUGUAGUCAAUGAAAGUUUUUCAAUAAAUAAGACCAAAUUUACAUCAUUGGUUUUGAUUUCAAUUGAUUUUUCCCAUCAUUUUAAGCUGAAUUUUUCCAGUGUCUAUGUGUGGCUCUUGUUCCCUACCAAGUUUCUUAGAAAUCACGUUUUCUAAGAUAAUCAAUGUGCUUUUGAAAAUUAGCUUGAUGCAUUUUGUUUGGUUUCCAUCAAUAAUGAAUUUUUCUUUUAUUUUUACUUUUAAUUUUUUAAAAAAAUUACAUUUGUUUGUCUUUGAUAUAGUAAUAUUUUUACUUUGAAGGACUUGUUGGUAAAAAAGAAAAAGAAAAUCACUUUCUAACUAUAAUUUCUAAGAGGCAAAGAUAUAAGACAUUAUCAUUUGUUAUUAAUUUGCCUCUUAAAGUAUUAAAAAGGAAAGACAAAAAUAAAUGGGAGUCAUAAUUAUGAUCUAACUUCAAAAACAACGAGUGGAUUAAUUCAAUAUUGAAGUUAUUGAAUUUUAAAAUAUUUCAUUUAUCACUAAUUCAUUAGAUAGGGAGCUAACAAAAGAGUGGAUUGCAACGUACUAGUAAGUGUCAAAAUUAAUGCCCAAGCACUUUUAAUAGUACUAUAUAUACAUCAACUCGAAAUUAAAGUCGUUAAUUGAAAACCUUAAUUAUCUUCCUCAAUCUCCUCUUAUCUUUCCUAAUAAUUGUUGUUUAGGGUUGAUGAACUAUAGUGAAUUAUGGGCAUUAGUAGAGCAUUACGUAGGGUAUAUAUAUAUAUGUAUAUAUAAAUGUCCUUGCUACAGAUUAAAUUAAGUCACAGCUAUAAGCCAAACAAUUAAUUAAUUCAACCUAAGGUUAGCGGUUGUAACCUUUCCUCUACAUUUACAUUAAAGCUACCCGAGCAUGUGGUAAAUCUUCAAAUAGCUAGCAAUAAAUCAAAGGUCUGACAUGCCUUAUAUCUCAGGGCAAUAACAGUAGUCCUCUUACCUUGAAAUUUACUUGGAUGAAUCAAGAGUCUUUAAUGCCGCCCGAACUAGCACGAUUCGAUUUGUUGGAUUAAGUGCAUGCAACCUAUUGUCUAUACACGAGGGUUAAUUGAAGCUCAAUUUUUUCAAACUCUUCAUUAAUGUCCAAAAAGAAAAAAAACAAAACAUGAAAAUAGUUAUUUUCCUUCAUAAUAUUUCAAAGAAUAAUAACAUAUAGUUCAGGAAAACGAUGCUUUGUGCAAGUCAAAAAAACAGGGGAAAAAAAAAAGCAAGAAUUCUGGAAAGAAAAGUUGACUGUUUGUUUGUAUAUGGCGUAGAGGCAGGGAAUGUGUGGGCGUCAACACAAACAGGAGAACUUUCUGGGCAUUGAACUUUAGUUAUUCCCUGAGUUUUAGAAGAAUCUAUUUAUCAUACUUCAAGGAAAUUUGAAGAACCCGUCUAUACACGGGGGUUGAUUGAAGCUCAUUUUUUUUCAAACUCUUCAUUAAUGUCCAAAAAGAAAAAAAACAAAACAUGAAAAUAGUUAUUUUCCUUCAUAAUAUUUCAAAGAAUAAUAACAUAUAGUUCAGGAAAACGAUGCUUUGUGCAAGUCAAAAAAACAGGGGAAAAAAAAAAGCAAGAAUUCUGGAAAGAAAAGUUGACAUUUGUUUGUAGAUGGCGUAGAGGCAGGGAAUGUGUGGGCGUCAACACAAACAGGAGAACUUUCUGGGCGUUGAACUUUAGUUAUUCGCUGAGUUUUGGAAGAAUCUAUUUAUCAUACUUCAAGGAAAUUUGAAGUACCCGUCUACAUUUUGGGGUAAAUUUAAAAAAAUUUUAAAGUAGUGUUAUAAUUAAAUUUAUUUUAAUUUAGAGUCCUUGAUGCUAAUUUCUAUAAAAUUACAGAAAAAUUAAUAGAUUUAUUAGUACCAUUAAUUAUAUAAUCAAAAAUUUUUUUUGACACUUCAGUGAUAUGAUUUGUCACCACUCUGCUCUACGUCCUCCCCUGGCUACACUACGGUAAGAGAUGCAGCUCCAGUUGUUCAAAAACAAAGUAACUAAUUGACUGAACCAUGCAAGUUUGGUCCAAUCGUAAGAGGGUUCGAGUAAGAUUAGAAUGAAGUGCAGAGUCAGAGCCCUCACGUAUCAAGAUCUCAAAAGAUGAAUAUGAUUAUAACGAUGAUGUAUAUAUAUAUAUAUGUAUGUACACGUUAUUGAGAGACAUACACUCCCAUAUUGCAAAAAGGCCGUUUUCUCCUAUUAUUUGUUUUAAAGGUUGUUGAUAAACAUGUCCGUCCAUGCCAAUAAAGAGUUUUUUUUUUAUAAUAUUCGAAAGCAUAUGUUUAAUAAUUAUGUGUUUAGCGUAACGCAGAAAAGCACGAAUUAGGUGGUGUCCAAGCUUUCACAUUAUUGUAACAAAGCCUAGAAAUUGCAUUGCUUCCUCUACCUUAUAGUUGUUAUUAGCUAGGGUGGCUACUCUCCAGCUGCUCAAUCCAGGACACUGUUUCUCGAUCGGCAGAUAUUCAUGGUUAAGCCGUUUUCUUUCUUCUUUACAAAAAGAUAUUUUGCAGUUUGACCUUCGUGUAAAGGAGAAUAAAAAGAGGAUCGAGGAAGGAUUGAGGAUUAUGCUUGAUUAUUUCUGAAAGCCAAUCGCAAUUUUCGAUAAUUUAAUUAUUUGGUGUGUUUUUUUUUAUUUAUUUAUUUUGUCCAAGGGUCUAUAUGAUUUAGUUUACUACAUAUAGGAUGAAAAUUGUCGUUGCCAUUUUUUUAACCCAUCAUCUCUUAUCGAAUUAAGUAGGAUUAUAUAUAUUCCUGGAUAGGGGCCAGACAUGCCUAAGCAAAUGUUAAUUAAUUUUUUUCUUUGCUUUAAUUUAAACAAAAAGAUUAAAGUAUUGUUCAGUUGUUUUGAAUAUAGAAUUGAACGUAAGUCCUCUCUUUCGAGAACAACAGCCUGAUGGUUGGUUGAUUGAUGAUUGUAUAAUUUCUUUUUUAAAAAGUUAGAACAUGAUUCCAUACAUUAAGCUGGCAACGAUCAUCCAUGACAUAUUUUUUCAUGUAUAUACAAGGAUACGAGUCCCCAAUCUACUAGUACAAAUUCUUCCAUGCUAUCAAUGUUAUUAUCUAUUUUUAUGGAUUAUAUAUCAUCAUUGUGAUUGUUGAUGGAAUCAAAAUCCCAUUAUUCAUUACUUAUGCAGCUAAAAUUUGCAGGAGCUCACAAAUACACAUGUCAAUAGACUGAAAUUGUAAAGUAUUGCAAAAAAAUGGAAUGCAUGUGGGUGCAAAUUAAAUUAUAUAACCUCUAGUCUAAUGGAAAAUAGGUCACAUUCUUGUCCACAACGCAACCAAUCAAGGAACCCUGAAAUUGAAAAUGUCGAAGAAAGGACAUGGAAGCAGGAAAUAGGGCAAAGGAAUGGAAACACACAAGUUAAUGAUGAAAGCAAAGAAGAAAAGUGAAGCAUCGACCCUGCCUGGCUGGGGGGAGAAAAAGGAAAUGAAGGGACUAUGAUAAAAGUGGAGCUUGAAGAAUAAAAUAGGGAAAAGGAAUUAACGCCUCUAAUGAUCUAAGCAAAGAAGGAAUUAAAGCGAGGAAGGAUGAUAAUUAAAGUGUUUGAGUAUAUUUUUAUUAAUUGAUUGGAAGCAAAAAUAAUAAUCGGAUGAAGUUUGGAGGAAGGAGACUUGGCAACCACGCAUUUCAUUGGCAUUUAAUUUUCUCUCCACGACUACAUAAAUAGGCAAAGACCCCACUUUCCUCUUUCUGCUUUGGCUUUUUAUUCAUUUGCACAAAUUCUGGAUGCUCACCGACAGACACUCCCUAUUUCCCAUUUCCUCAAAUUUAUUCAUCUUUUUGUCUUUUAUUUUGAUUUUUGUAGAGUAAGAUGAUUUUGGAUGCAAUAUUUCAGUAGCAUUAACAGCCAACAACGGUUGAUGGUAGAGAAGGAAAACCAUGUGAAGCACAUGUAAACAAUGCCAGAAUGAAUGAAUGAAUCAAUGAAUUCAAGGCAAACAUCAUGUCACAUUUCCGCUUUAAGAGACAAUAAUUAAACUUGAAGCAACCUUUUGUGGACCUCUCUCACACAUGACUUGUUUGCAAGCCGACAAAGGCAAGGUGACAUCCUUUAAAUAACGUCAAAAAAGGAUAAAUUGUAAUCAAGCCCUUUGAGAUCAUUUGAUGGAAAGGAUUACUUCCUACGAGAAAAUACUAGUGACACAAUCAGUAAAUUAGAUAACUCCAAAGCAAACCAUUGAUGAACGAAUAUCGAAUAUAGGGGUUGAUUUGAGAUCAUUUCAGCGGCGAUGGGCUUCUGGGACUAAGACAGGGAAAACUACGUUGCUAAUUUGCAUCACAAAGGGGAGGUGUCAAAAUUCCAAUUGAGUUAUUAUUGCAAUUUUUUUUUUUUAAUAAAGUCAUUAUGACAAAUAAGAUUAUAAUUCAAUACACCACAAGGCAAAGGAAAACAACUGCAAAUUAUAUAUGGAGAAUAGACAGCCUUAAAUAGGGCUUGUGAGAGAGAGAUUUAAUCAGUUGAGCGCAUGAUAGAAGCAGGCAGCAUCCCAUCUUAAAUAUCUUCAAAAACAGCAAAAAUGUUACCGCUGAUGUAAUCGUUGUCUACCAAGCUGACCAAAUAGUACUUGCUCUGCACCUGCAAAAUUGAAAGGAAACCAACCCAUUAUUGAGCUUAAUCCUGAUCAACUUGAAAAUGCAAAAGUGAGCAUCAAAGUGACCAAUUACCUCUUCAAGCAGUUUUUUGGAUUGAACACCCUCAGGGUCGGUGUCGGAGUACCAGGAGGCCCAUGUUCUUGACCAAAUUUCAAAUGCUUCAUCCUUCCACACCAUGAAGCUGGCAGGAUCCACCACAGUUGGCUGGAUUGUUUCUUUAGCUGGGAACGCUCCCCACGUUACCGCAUUAACAUCUGCCACGCCUAUGUUUGAUAUCAAAUCCCCAUUUUUGUUGACGGCCAAGUAGGUGAUAAAUGACAAGGCCUUGCACUUGGCAAUAAGUGCAUCUAAUUUUUCCUUUGAGCAGAAAAACUCAAGAUAAGCCUUCUGGUAAACAUACCCUCCAGGGCCACCCCAACCUGCAUGCAGUCAUGUCAGAUCAAGUUACAGCAUACUUAACACCAGUUCUUACUACCACAAGUGCAAACUAAGGGAAGGGAGAGCACCAGGAGUUGUCCUGCCCAAAGCCCAUUAAGCUUUGUGUGUUCCCUCCUAUCCUCAAAACAACCGCAAACUCAGGCAAACUACCACCGUGAAUAUAUAUACAUAUAUAAAUCAACACUCGGUAUAAAUAAAAAAAUACAGUUCAGAAAUCAAAAGCCCUUAAAAGCACAUUUGUUUCACAAAAUGAAAUAUAAGAAUAGAAUAUCUAUUCAGUGAAAAUAGAAUCAGAAAAGAAUAAUUAUUAUGUAGUUUGGUUCAUGAAAUGAAAUUGUUAUUCUGACCUUAUUUUAAUAUUUGGUCGACAAAAAUUAACUUUAGAAUAAUGAAGGAAUAGGUGAAAAAAAUACCUUUUAAUAUAAUUUAUGAUUUUUAAUUUGAAAUAUUAAUUUUUUUAUAAUUUAUUUAAAAUAUUGAUAAUUUAUAAUUAAAAUUUUAAUAGGAUUUUUAUUUUGAUUUCUCCUCUAUUUUCUUUUUGUCUUCUCUUUUACUAUUGUUCUUUCGUCUUUUGUCGCCUGACUACUGGAGAUAUGGCUGGCACUAUGGAGCAACAGAUCUGGCCACCAAAGCACCAAAUCCAAUGCAUCCCACGGCAGAUAUAGCCGCUGAAGGCACCGGUUGGGCAAUGCUAGAAUGAGGAAGAGAGAGAAAGAAAACGAGGAAAAAUGUUUCCAUAUGCUAGAAUUAGGCUUUAUGAUAUAUAAGAUAGUAAUUUCAUAAAAUGAUUAAGGACAUCUUUAUCCAAAAAUUUUUUAGCCCAUUCCGAUCCAUGCAGAAUAGCUAGCACUAAUAGGAGGAUCGGCAAUAACUAUUCAGACUUCUCCUGGAGUGGCCAUCCCUUGAAAUAGCCAUUCCAUAACCAAGCAAUAAAAUAGAAGCGGAAAGAAGAAUAGAAUAUCCAUUCCCCCAACCAAACAUGCUGUUAAUUCUUAAACUCAACACAGCUGCCUAUUUCUUCAUAUUAUCUGCAGAUUUUAUGCUUAAUUAAUUCAUAAAUUAGUUCCUUUUGACUGCAAAACCCCCAUUAUCUAAAUAAACCUAUAUCUAGUACAAUUAACUCAAAUAUUAAGACAACCAGAUACCAGUAUUCAGGUGCAAAAAAUCAUUUGUUCAACCAUUUUAGAGAUACAUAAAAGAAAACAUACAUCAGAUACUUGUACUUACCAACAGAUGUGGAAUCAGAUCGUUCCCCAUUGACAGCUGGUUGACUAUUGAUGGUAAGGAAACCCUUCAAAUUGAUCUUUCCCAGCUGUUCAUGUAUGAUCUUUGUUUCUGGCUGAAGCCCAUCCAAUUCUGACCAAGGACUACUUUUCAACUUGCCCAAACAAUAACUCUUGAAUUUCUGAUAACACCAGUUCCAAACAAACCAUAUCAUUAUUGCAGAUUUGACUUUAAAAAGAGAAAAUACUACAUAAAUGCUAAACUACAAAUUCUACCUCUUGAAUAUCAUCAAUGCUUUUCAAUGGGGUAGCCCAUUCUUCAUGAAGUUUCUUGCCACGAGCACGGGGCCUCAUGAACUGUUAAGAAUUUAAAUAUCUUUGGUCAUACACAGGUUAUUAAUCCAAAAACAGAAGUAACGAGGAUUUUCCUCAACCAAUUGACAGUUUCUAACAUUUUGCCACUUAAGUAUAAAGUGAUAUCAUAAAAUAUAAAAAAGGUACUUAAAUUAAAACAAAUGGUCAUGAAUAGCAAGAAUAAAUAAAUAGGAAAAUCAAAAAUUAACUAUCUAUUAACUUCAUAUGGAUAAUUGCCAUUUACUAUUCAAAUGGAGGUUCCAUUACAGUCUAGAGGUUCUCAUUCCAAGUCCAGACAAAAAAGGAAAAACAAAUUCCCACCAUGAACUUGUUAAUAGGUUUUCUUUAGUUGGCCAGAUUCCCAAACAUACUUGUUAACAUGAUAACCCAUUUAGUUUCAAGUCAUAAUUGUAUCAACCAACACAACCGGCUAAUGUGUUACAAAGAUCAAGCACUAUGAAAAUAAACUAAAAGUCAUCAUUCACCAAGCACCACCUCAUAUUUCCUUCCUUACAUUUUCAAGAAAAAGCUGUGCAUAUGCUAUAUGACUUUUUUUUAUUUUUGGUUCUUCAUUAUGGUGAGACUUGUAAUACAUCCUGUAAUAGUAACAUGUGAGAUCCAUAGGAGCCUACAUGCCAGCCCAUUCAGAAUCCCAAUCCAAAAAACAGUCUCUGAAUUCCAUUCAAUGUUAAUCUUUUCCAUAGCCAGCCCAUUAAACUCACCCCGAAAUCUUACUUUUCUAAAGUGUUUAUUGCUGAAAGAAGCUCCCAUAAAAUAUCCAUUAACUUAUAAUAAGAUUUGGCAUUUAGGUAUAAGUCCACUAUUAUCAUUUAAGCUUAAAGGAAAACCUUAAUGCCAGAGUUCAUUCCCAUACAAUCAACCAUCAAAUGAACGUGUCAAUUAUAUGCACCCAUAACAAAUGAAAUAUUCAAAAAGGAUGGAAUGAGCAGGAAAACCACCUUAACAAUAACAUAAUGAUACAACACAUGCAAUCAGACACAUCUAAACCAAUAUAAAUACACUGUAAUACAUUUGUCAAAGAUGCUGCUUUCUUUUCAAUAAACAGGUACGUAACAUCUAGGAGUUAUUGCGCAUGCCAAAAUUGAAUAAAAAGCAAAUUGCAGCUAUAUUUCCUCCAAGAGAUAUUGAAAGCAUUGAAGAUAUUGAAUAUCAGUAAUACAAAACAACAAAAAGUUCAACCAUCAUCUUUACCUGAUAGUCAGUUAGCGCACCAUAUGAUGGGUUUUGAGAAUCACCCCAUCGCCCAUGUGGGUACUGGUCCCAACCAAUAGUCCUGGAUAUGUAACUCUUUGGACGGUUAGCCCUGUCAUCAUUUGUAAGAAAGAUCAGAUAUCCAGGAAUAUUCAAUCAUUAUAAGAAAAUGCAAUAAACUCCAGACAUCUAGCCAAGAAGUGAAGUUCAAUGUUUAUCACAUACCAAAAUAUUGGACGAACAUCUUCUUUAACACGAAAAACAUUUGCAGGGCGUCUCCAAGGUAAAAACCUGGAAAUUUUGGACUCUUCUAUCAAUCCAAGAUUCUGCCAACAUAAGCCUAUGAUUAGUACGGGGCAAUGAAGUAAUAAUUAUACACUAGAGAAUAGAGAUGAAUAUAGCUUGACUCAUAACUACUGCCAAAGUCAUUUUCUCUUUUACUUUCAAUUGAGUAGAAAAAGAGUUCCUAACAAAUUAUCUUAAAUGAUUGAACAACAAUAAGUCACUUAAAUGAAAUAUGCGGGUAAUAAAUCAAUAAGGAUUGGGAUACAGUGAAUUCUGUACUUGCAUCUCUUUUCUUUCCUUCAUUAUUUCCACUGAUCUUAAUUUAAUUAUUUAAAAGUAUUCUAUGAGAAAGUAUGAUAUUGAACCUACUAGAUAAUUCAAAGUUUUUUCUAGGACUCCAUUUGGUUGGUGCUUUACUAUUUGCCUUUUGUGUUCUAUUCAUUUUUUAACUUUUGUUUUUACUUCUAUUUUUUUUUUUGCAGAAAAAAAAAGAAAAACAAAAAGGAAAAAGAAAAAAGAAAAAGAGUCAACCAAAUGGAGCCUAUAUAAUUGAAGAACAAAAACUUAUCGUUCAAGGGCUUUGAUUGACCCUGUAAAUGCUCAAUUCUUGAACUACAUAUUAAUUUGAAGAUUUUUCUCUUCAAAUUUCAAAGUUUAGAAGUCAAAAGAUAUUCAGAAAUAACAUCUUCUAGAUGCCAAAAUAAUAAAUGAAAUAUAGGAUAAUAAGAACCAACCAUUAGUAUAGCUAGUGCAGAUUUCUCCAUGUUUAACGUAUAAAGGUGCAAUGUCUUAAUUCCAUGAGCUAAAAUCUUGCGGCACAUUUCUGUUCCAAGAUGAAUCCCAUAGGAUUUGACGGCUUCGUCAUUGUCCUUGAUAGGCUCUAAGGCAUUAGUAAUGUCAGCUGGGAUCUACAAAGAGCCAUUUGAAAAAUAUUAAUGGCAAUAACAACCAAAAUAGCCUUUUAUAUCCAUUCUUCUAAGCAAUCAUAACGAACACAUUAAAUCAAUAGUUAAGGAAAAGCAGCCCCAACAGUGCACUGUUGUGAUAAUAUGAAAUACCCAUUCAAAUAACGGGCCUCCAAAAUUUUAGAAGUUUUAGCCUUUGAGAAGAGUGACACUGCAUUCUGUUCCUUUAUGCAAGCAAGCACCAUGAAAUGCUUGCAUUAUUCUUCUAUAAGCAUGGGUUUACCUCAAUGACAUUUAGCCACUUUGAUUCCUCUGCUUAUGGAAUUAUUUGAAAAACUAUCUAGUACAUGCACCUUUUCCAUAAAACAAUUCUAGAAAGGAAAAUAUCCAACUAGUACAUACACCUUUACAAUAAAAUUUUAUCAUUUGAUACCUGUUGAAAUGCUCAAAAAUACCUCACCAUAAUUUUCUCAGACUAAGAGGAAAAGAGGGACAAAUAUAUUUUCAUUACAUGUGUGAUAAGAAAUGCAAUGCAAUGUUUGUUACGAAAAAGUGAAAUGGGCUAUAUACCACAUACCUUGGUUUUGCAAAAGCCAGUCAUACGCAAGAAACCCUUGUAAUUAUUAAUGGGCAUAAUACCCGGCACGAUAGGACAUGUAAUUCCAAUUUGCCGACAGUCAUUGACAAAUUUGAGAAAGAUAUCAGUAUCAUAAAACAAUUGAGUGACAAUCAGAUCAGCUCCCGCAUCAACCUAUUAAGUAAAGAGGCUUUAGCACAAAAAAUAACUAAUACAUUGCAAUGGAACUACAAACAUUAAAAGAUUAGAACACAAUCAGCCAAUUAAUGAGUUCAGAGUAAAACCUUUCUCUUCAAGUAUUCAAGAUCAUUCUGAUAAGCUUCAGGUGUAGCUACACCGUCACUUCCUAUGGCAUCAGGAUGUGCCUCUGAGCAACAAAGCAAACUGUUAACAAUCACAAGCCACAACAACAGGCCCCUUAUCAGUAGACAAUCAUUAAUCAAAAUAUAAGACAAUGAAAAGCACCUGGAUAACCAGCAACCGUGAUGCCAAAGUAGUCACCAUACUUGCUUCUAAUAUGUUUCACCUAGAAUUUAGAAAGAAAGGUUAGUAACAUAUUAAUAUAGAAAAAAUGGGAAAGAUUUAAAAAGGAAACAAAAUGAGCAAUCCUUACCAGAUCAAGGGCACAGGCAAAGCCACCUUCGACCUGGACAAACUUGUCCUGGCCAUGAGGAGGGUCACCUCGGAGGGCAAGAACAUUCUGAAUGCCAUUGGACUUAAUGGUCUGAAGGGCAUGGUCGAUCUUCUCCACAGGCAUGUUGGUGCAAGUGAGGUGCAUCAUGGUCUCCACACAGAUGAUAUUCUGCAUCUUGUUAGCAAUGUCCAGGGUGAGAUCUGCGGUGGACCCACCUGCACCCCAUGUAAUGUCACAGAAUGAUGGAUUAUGAGCAACCAUGCGAUCCAUCCUCUCAAACAGGUUGUCAACUCCAUCCUCAGUCUUUGGGGGGAAGAACUCAAACGAAAACACAACUUUCCCUUGCUCCUCUUGCAAAGUCCGAAUCUUCUCUAUCACCUUCAUUUUUAAUUAGAUCUGGGACUGUCAGUGCCACCAACAGCUGCAAGUGGAAUCAAGAAUUGAAUACGAAACUCAGACUUUUGAAGAAAUAAAUAAAGAGGAACGACAGGCAGAGGCAACCAAAAAGGCAAGAGACCUGACUGCAAGGGAAUGAUAAGCUAAUAUUUAAAAUAAUACUUUCUUAGAAUUUAACACACUAAAUUGUCUCAUGGACUAACCAUUCUGGACUAAAACAUGAUUGCAGGCAUUCAUCAUCAUGAUUAAGCUAAGUACCGAAAAUGGAAUCUAAAAGAAACAUGGUACUCUGAAAGAUCAACAAUCAAACCAUAUUUUCGGAAAGUCAUUUUCACAGCAAUUAAAAACAGGACUCCCACACAUGCACCGACACGACAGUAUCACGCACACAUACAAAAUUUCUCAGCCUCAGAGCAUUGAAGAAUUUGUUAAAAAAACCAUGAUUACCCAGAUCAAUGAACCCAAACCAAAUCUGAAACAAAAACUGAUAAUUCAUAGCGAAUACCCAAUUUGAACUUUGAAGAAGAACACAAAUGAAAAUAAAAAUGAACAAUUUAAGUCAAUCCUUUAGAAGCAAAUCAGAUCAGCUAAAACAUAACGAUACAGUACAAGUUAUACAUUGUCAAGAAUCUAAAUAGACACCAAAUAUCGACAGAGUACUCCAAAUCUAAUAUCCGAGGCUUGUUCUAGUACAUUGUUCCCUAAUUCAUAUAACAAAACUACAAAUUACAUGUCGGAACAAAGCUCCCGGAAAACGUGAAAAAGAAAGGAAACUCACAAAUGGGUUAUCGAUGAAAAGAUAGAGGGAGGGGCGAGAAUGGGUUGGGAACGCAGAAAGAGUAUAUGAGAGAGCGGGUGGGGGUUGGUGCGAUUGAAAUGACAAAGUUGCCACUCAACAACCCAAUAGCCAGUACACUGCCACCAACCUGAGAGUGAAACUUUUCUACAUACGAUAGCCCUCUACUGCUAUCAUUUACCAACCAUAAACAGCGACACGUUGGAUGUGCAUGAUCAUCGUCCAUCCACUCAUUCUAGUCAGCUUCACAGAUUUGGUUUGCUUACCAAAACCAAAGAUUAGUUGUCUCUUACAUAAAAUACUUAACAAGUUACUUUCGCUUGCUUUGAUCCUGUUAUACCGAAUCAGGCUUUGACCUUGUUUGCAUUUUUCACGGCUGUUUUUGGUACGGGUUAAUAAUUACAAGUUUUAAUAAUAACAUUAUUGAUAUUAGAUAAAGAUUUUUUUCUCAUUUUGUUUUAAUUAUCAUAAAAAUAAUAGUUAUAAAGGAAUGAAAUGGAUUUCAUUAGUCUAUUACUGUUUUUCAUGGUCUCUUGUAGGCCAGGAUGAAAGAAAACUAAGUCCCUCGAGGAGGAUGGGAAUAUAUCCCCACUAUAACUUAUAAAAUAUAUGUAUUAGAAAUGGAUUAAUGGCUUUGAUUUUGCUCUCAUUUAUGCCUUUUAUUUUAUAAUAUUUUUUAUAGUCUUGGAUUUGUUUUUUGUGUGUUGAAACUUUUGAUAAUACUUUGUUGUUAUGUGAAUUUUUAUUUGAAAUUAUCUAAAAAUUUAAAAAAUUUAUAUUAUUGAAUUUAGCUUAAACUACUUAUUUAAUUAUAUUAAUUAAACAUGAUAUAUUAACAUAUAAUUUGGCAUUUUAAUUUCUUUUGUAAAUAAAAGUAGCUACGCAAAAUUCGUUGUCUAGCCAAAAUUGCAUAUCCAUUAAACUUUUAAGUUAAUUUUUUUUUUCAUUUAAUAAACAUGUCCUUUUGAUUGACAAGUAAUAUUAAAACCUAUUAAAUUUUUCACUAAUGUGAAAUCUCACAAGAGAUCAAAAUCAAAAUAAUCUUAGAUCAUGAUGCAUUCUUCUUUUUUUAUGAAUUGCAAAAUCCGUACAACUGGAACAUAGCACAAUUAAAUAGAGUUGAAUGUCACAUAUCUCAUAUCCUGAAUAUUUUUCUCUAUCUAAUAAACAUAUCUUUUAAAUUAAAAAUGUAAAUCUGUAACAAAUUCACGUCUGUAGCCUCCUACAUGAAAUUGAUAUCGUACCACUCUUGGACUGGGCUUGAAUCUAAGAUAGUAAUCGGCAGACCCCAGUUUUUGGGUUGCUCAAUAUCAAAUUCAAGGCCCACUUUGCCCCCUUGCUUCCCUCAAAGGUCUUCGACUACAAUAUCUAUUAGGUAAAUUACAAUUUCCCAGAGAUACUUAGUAAGUCAGAAUCUUAAACUCCACCAAGUUUAUACUUUUUUUGAAAAAAUAAUAAUACAAAAAGACUAAAGUGUUAAGAACAAAUGAUUUAAUAUCAAAAGGUUAUGGUAGACUAAGGGAAAAGGAAAGAAAUGUGUAAAUUACCACUGCCAGAAGGAACUACAAAUCCAUUAACUUAAAGAAUGUGAAAUACUUGGUAAAACAAGAAGUGCACAUUUGCCUCCUUGGAAACAACUGACAAAAAAUUGCGCUCCAAGAAUUUGGAAAGCAAAGCUUUCUCUAUUAUUUCCAUUCUCCUUGAAUUAUAAAUAAUUCUCUCGAGGAAAAGUAUCCCACCUUUCGCUGCUUCUACUUUCCCCCACCCACUCAAUUCCAACCCAGUGUAAAACUCAGCAAAUGAGACAAAUCUAAAAAUACUUGUCUAUAAAAUGCAUAUUGAAUCUCAUGGAAUAUUACAAUCAUCGUAUUGCACCCUCAAACUGGGCUGUAACCCUACCUGUAAUUAAGUUGGCAUAACCAUAUUGCAGGCAGAUACCACGAAAUUCCCCUGCAAUAAACAAAGAGCCAAGAUACUUUAACCACAAUCCAAAACACAUGCAAUGACGAGUACAAGCAAUGUCAAAACCUUACCUUGCCAAUAUAAAUAAUUAAAUAUUAGAUAAUAAAAUGCAACAACUAACAAAAAUUGACCCAAUCGCAUAAAGUAGUUGCAUAAGUUCAGCACAUCUAGAAAAUAUCUAAAUACAUCCUCAAAUCUAAACAAGUAAACUACUAGCUACAGACAGGCCCAUGGAUAGAAUUUGAUGCAAGAGCUUAGUAACCAGAAUCCCCUCCAAAACCUCUAUCCCCGCGGAAACCACCGUUGUUGCCUCCAAAAGAUCGAGGGCCACUAGGUCUUUCAUUGGCAUAACUUACUCGAAUGUUUCUCCCAUUGAGUUCCUGAAAUUUCAGUGCAAAACAGUCAAAUACAUAAUUAUGCAGAAACAUGUUCCACAUAUCAAUAAAUGUUUCUUUCCUCACCUGCCCAUCCAUGGCUGACAAGGCAUUGCUGGCAGAUUGAUCAUCAGCAAAGUUAACAAAACCGAAGCCCCUAGACCUCCCAGUGUCUCUAUCAAUGAUAAUCCUUGCUGAUCAACAUAAACACAGAGAAUGAGAACAUAAAACAGAAUCAAGCACUAUAAUAAAUACCUUCGAUGUUUAACAACAAUGCCAUUAACAAUUGUUCUUACAUGUAAAAACACAAAGUUCACUGGCCCAAAUCACCAAUCAGGCAAACAAGGCGAACUUAUUAUGAUUUCAAUUAUAACACCAUGCAAAACACUCACUUGCACUCAUCAUUAUUCAACUUCUUACAGGAGAAAGCUACAAGAAAGAUAGAGACAUAGAGCAUAGAUCCCAGACAAGCUUAAGCCUAACUCUGUGUUUUGUGUCCAAGAUACCCAAUAAACAAAGUACAGCAAACACCUAGCAAACACAUUAACAAUGCUAAUCACUCUACAGAACAAAGACUACACAUUUCUACUUGGUACUACUUAAUGAGCUAGAAUACAAAGGACAAGUAGUUUGUCUGCUUGACAAGAAAUGCAAGCUACUAUUUCAUAUACUUGACUAAAACAUUCAACCUAAUGACAAUGUCAAAAACUUAACAGUAUCAUGAGCAUCACCAACACAGCUCACCUUCAGUGACAUCCCCAAAUCCGGAAAAUGCUUCCUUAAGAGUCUGAUCAUCAGUUCCGUACGAAAGACCUAAAAACCAUAGAUUCAAGUCAAAUACAAAAUAAAUGAUAUCCACAUCAAAUCUUCGAACAACAAUCCAAUAUGUAUCAAUACCUCCAAUAAAAAGCUUUUUGGUUGAUGUUGACAUGCAGCGGAUAGAAUUAAGCAUGGAUGUAAUUGGCAUUUGCCCAUUUUGCCUCAGAAGGCUUCCAAGUUUGCUAGAAAAUGCCAUUAUAACGCUUAACUGUACCAUUUUUUUCACAACAGCACCACCAAGCCACAUAGACAAAAACAAAACAGCAAGUUAGUUCAAAUCUUUAACCCAGUUAAUAACCAAACCAAACCACAAAAAAAGUUCAUAUACAAUAUGAAACCAUUUGCAAAUCCCAGAAACCAAUCAAUUCAAUUGUAGCUGAAAGGGUUUAAGAUCUCAUUAAAAAUUUGACCUUUCAUGUAUAUUACUAUAAAAAAUUGGUUUUCCCAGUUGUCUGCAAUCAUUUCUCCCCCUCUCCCUAACACUAAAGGACCAUACUAAAACAUGUUUCAUAUACCCCCUGAACAGGAGAAAUUAUUACAAAAGUGUAAGCCCAUUCACAACAACAUUACAAUUUUUUAUGGCAUGUCGUUACAUAAUUUGCUGGAUCUAUUAUAACUGUCGAGAGAGAUAUGAUAUAUGUUAAAUUUUUCCAUGUCCAAAGAGACAUGCAACAUCAACAUUAAAAAGAAACAGAAAAAAAAAACAUAAAUAAAAUCAAAUAAUCAAGACAAAUCAUCUCAAAAAACUAACAGAACAGAAAAUAGCAAAACCAUAACCCCAAAAGAAAAUAUCAUCAUCAUAACUUUAAAAACAAAUAGUGAAAAAUCAAAUAAAUGGAUUCAAAGAAACAAACCCAUACAAACAAAAUCAAUAAUCUUUACCUUUAAGAAGAGAAAAUCAAAGAAAUUUGCGAGAGACAGAAAUAAAAGCGGCUAGGGUUUAAGAGCUCCGGAAGAAGAGAAAAUAUCUGCUGCCUUUAAUAGCGAAGAGGUUUAAGGGGUUUUGUUCAGCUGUGUUAUAGGUGUACUGUAAUCUUUGUUCAAGUUUUCUCUUCAAUUGACGAACCGUAAAGAAAGAUACCGUACAUGAAGGAAGCCAUCUGACGUGAUUAUCAUUCAGCUGUAGAUAAUUAAAGUUGGGCGGGGUCCAGGUCAGCAAAAAUACCUUUGGAUUGGGUUGGGUUAACGGCUAACCAAGUUUCAAGAAAAAUUAAAUGGUUUAUGUUGGGCCUUGGGUUUGAGGCUUUUUUGGGCUUAACUUAAAUAAAUUUUUUAUUAUAAUUGAUUGAACGAAAGGUAAUGUCACGUGUCAAAAUUUAAACUUAAACUUAAUUUCGUGUAAUUUUAAGCUUUUAAAAUAUAACUUAAAUAACUCUCUUUGACUCUUUAUCUGUAGAAAGAGUCGAGUUGUACUGGCUCUUUAUCUGUAGAGGAGAGAGACUCUUAUAUUAAUUUUGAUCUAUUUCGAUCUUUGUAUCUCUUAUGAGGAUUCCACAUCGUUGAAUAUCUAAAUUUACUUUGAUACUAGUCUGAAUCUACCUCAAUCUUUAUAUUUUCAUGAGAGUCCCACAUCGAUGAAAAUCAAGAAUUACUUUGAUACCAAAUCUAAAAAUAAAUUAUCCACAUUGAUAAAUAUUUGAAUUUACUCUUAUAUCAAAUGUCAUAAGUUGAAAUUUAAACAUAAUCUUAUGCAGCUUUAAACUUUAAAAAUAAAAGGUUUUGCAUUGAUGAAGAUAUAGAUUUACUCUAAUAUCAAAUAUCACAGGUUAGAAUUUAAAUACAAUCUUAUGUGACUUUAAACUCUGAAAAUAAAGUUUAAAUAAAACUAUAAAUCAUGAACCUACAUUCUUAACUAAAAAAACAUACUUAAUAGUUAGUGAAAAACUAAUAUUUAUAUAUUUAAUAAACAUAUUUGAUAGCUAGUGGAAAACCAGAAUUUAUAUAUCUAAAACUUACCUUAUUUUUUACUGAUAUGGGAUUUGUGACUACUAUCCCAAAUAUAAAUUUUUUUUUAAUUCCUAUAGUCAAAUGCUGAAAACCACUUAAAGGCAUUUCUUAAUUGUACUAUUAACUAUUGAUAUAAUUAUUUUUAUAAAAAAUUUCACAAAUUUACUUUUAAAGAAACUUACUUGAAUGAUUAAUGAAAUUUUGUCUUCAAAGGCAAGAAAGAGAUCUUAAAAUCUUAAAGUCCUAAGUUUAAAUCUGAUAACUUCAAUAUAUAUUUUACUGAACUUGCCUAAUUAUAUAUUGAUAUAUUUGUUAAGUUUGAUUCGUUGGAUUCUUAUAUAGAAUUAAUAUUUGAUUAUUAUUAUAAUUUAUAUAUAUUUUAUUUUAAUUUCAUAAAAAAACAUUACUUGAAUUUAUUAUCAUUAAAUUAAUUUUUAUAUGUGAUUUACUUUGACGAAGAUACAUAUAUAUGUAUAUAUAUAAGUAAAUGAGGAUAUAUAUAUUUGAUGACGUGUAAAAGUGAUCGAGACUUGAAAAAGGAUUGACGAUGAGUGACAAUUAAAACGAUAAGCAUUCAUUUUUACAAUGACUUGUCAACAAACCAUUUCAUUUGACUCCAUGCUUCCUUUUGGAUAUAGAUUUACUCUACCUAUUUAACAAGGCUUCUAUGAGAUUCAUGCACUUUUUUUUUUUUUUUUUU